rnacentral:rRNA from 1 species
UACGUAGGGUGCGAGCGUUGUCCGGAAUUACUGGGCGUAAAGAGCUCGUAGGUGGUUUGUCGCGUUGUUCGUGAAAACUCACAGCUUAACUGUGGGCGUGCGGGCGAUACGGGCAGACUGGAGUACUGCAGGGGAGACUGGAAUUCCUGGUGUAGCGGUGGAAUGCGCAGAUAUCAGGAGGAACACCGGUGGCGAAGGCGGGUCUCUGGGCAGUAACUGACGCUGAGGAGCGAAAGCAUG